rnacentral:misc_RNA from 1 species
GGUGGCUACCUCUCUGGAGGUGUGUCGUCGAUGUGUCGGAUGCUUCUCGUCUCGCGUUGGGACGGCGCAUGAGUGGCGAUUAGGAUAUGUUCCCAUAGCAGGCUCCGUGCUUCGGGCAUCGAACUGCUUUGGUCUAUCCGUUUCACGAGUUGGAUCGCCCCGACCCUUUUAGGGUCGGUCGCGACUCCUCGCUGGGUUCCUGUGUUGGCUAUCCGAAUGCGGUAUUUGGACGGGUUGAUGCCCCUUCUAAGGUUCCACUGAUUUUCCCUCCCCCUCUCGGGCGGUGGGUCGGUAUUGUGCGGGCAUCGACGUUGGUCGUCCGAGCCGUUGUCCUCCGUUUGGGCGCUUCUGCUCUGGAUGGCCGGCUAGUCGUUGUCGUCGGCGCACUCUCGGGUACGGUUAUUUCGCUGGCCAUCGCGAUAGGUGCUCGCCCGCCUUUGCGAUCUCUAUGUGCCGAACGCUAAAUCGCUUCCGCUCGUGCGACCCUCGUGCUUGUCAGAGAGCUCACGGAGCGUCAGCGUUCCGUGUCCAUCUCC